AUGCUCGCUUCGGCAGCACAUAUACUAAAAUUGGAAUGAUACAGAGAAGAUUAGCAUGGCCCCUGUGCAAGGAUGACAUGCAAAUUCGUGAAGCGUUCACGAAUAUA
ensembl:snRNA Gm23507 predicted gene, 23507